AGCAAAGCCCCUUAUCCAAUUUUCCAAAACCCUCUCUCAGUCCCCCUCUCCGUCUUCACUUCUCACUCUGGAGCGGGUGACCCCAUAACUGAAAGCUCCAAACUUUAAUCCCCAGCACCAAUUCAAACCUUCGUCUCUACAGAAACGAAUCGCUAGCCAGCAGUUGAACCAGGCUCUCCAACUCCAGUUUUCAAAAUUCGGAAUAUAAAGAUUUUGGUGAUAUUUAUGCUGCGUUGAAGUGAAAAAUGGCAUCUCUACCAGGAACUUGGCUGUAUCAAGAUAGGGGAUUGAUAGGUGUAGUCUCAGCACAGAGCCAUGCUUCUGGGAAGCCAUGUUUCAAUCACCCCAAGGCAUCAACUGUAAGUUCAUUUCCAGUUGGAUUAUUCCAAGUUAGAGUUGGCUCGAAUCUAUUGCCAAAGAGGGCACCUUUACUUCCUUGUAUAAAGUGUGAGAAGGAUGAUGAGUCCUCCAAAGAGGUCUCUAUUGAGCGUCCACCCUACGAUAGUUAUAUGGACUCGACAUCUGGGCAGCUUGAACCCGCAUCUGGUGCUCGUGCCAGCAUUCCAGGGCAGGAUUAUUGGCCUGAAGGCACAGCUAGUCGAGUUAGGGCUGCCAGGGCUCCUGAGCCUACUGGUAAGUCAGUUGGAUCACCAUCUUAUGGUAAAAAUCCUGGAAGUAGGAGGAGGAAGAAUAAAACAUCAGUUGCUGCCAGUGAAUCUACUGAGCAAAGUGUAGAGUCAAGUGAUACAGUGGCAGUGGAACUGCUGGAACCAGAAACUUCAGAGGACGCACUAGAGGAUCCUAAAGAUACCCCAUCUGAAUAUGUUGUGUAUCAGACUGAACCUGAAAAAGAAGAAGAAACAGGAUUUGACCUGGACAAGAAACUCGGACGUCCUCAUCCCUUUAUUGAUCCAGAAACAAGGAAGCCACUAGGUGAGCCACUCACAAGUGAUGAGCUAUGGUGGAACUGGAGAAAACCAGAGAAAGAAAAUUGGUCCAGAUGGCAAAGGAGACGACCUGAUUCUGAAACGGUUUUUCUCAAAGCAAUGGCAGAGACUGGGCAGGUAAAGCUUUAUGGUGAAAAUCCAACAUUGACGGAAACUUCACUUUACAGAGCAAGACGACAUCUUUUCAAGGAAGAAAGGCUUCAAGCGGAACAAGAAAGACUGGAUAGAACAGGUCCACUUGCAUACUAUUCGGAAUGGGUAAAAGCGUGGAAAAGGGACACUUCUCGAGAAGCUGUUCAGAAACAUUAUGAAGAGACUGGUGAAAAUGAAACAACCCAACUAAUUGAAAUGUUUUCUCAUCAAACAGAUCGAGAGUAUCGCAUAAUGAUGGGGACAGAUACCCGUAUACGUAGGGACCCCUUAGCAAUGCGUAUGCGAGAGGAUCAAAUCAAGCAAAUAUGGGGCGGAGAUCCUGUUUACCCAACUGUGAACUAUAUUCAAGAUCCAGAUGAAGUGAUUGAUUACAGAGGCGCAGAUUUUCAUGAACCGACACCAGAUAUGCUGUCUUUUCUGAAGGAGCACAAAAAAAUCAUAUCAAGGGAGGAGCUUGAGAAAAUUCUGUCAAAAGAGAAGACUCAAGAGCUUGAGGCACCUGAUAUAGAAGAAGCUAUGGCACAAGCAGUUGACAUCGGUGAAGACGAUGAAGGAGAAGAUAGUGAAACCGAGGUUGAUGAACAAGGAGAGAAAAUCACACGCAACUGGAGUGUUUUGAAAACUACUCCUGAGCUUACCAAGUCAAAGGAUAAACCGAAAAAGAACGACAGCAUGUCUUUGGAAGAAGCUGUAGACGAUUCAGAGAACUUAACUGACUUUCUGAUGGACUUUGAGGAAGACGUGUAGAUUACGUUCUUUGGAAGAUUUUGGCCUUUUGAGAUUCACAGAGAAGUAGGCGAUGAAGAUGUAGGGAAACUUCGCUCACACAAUUUUAUAAGCGCACAGGCCUUUUUUUUAUCUUUGCAUAACACUGUUUAUUUCUGGUCUUUAGAUGGGAUAAAUCAAAGAAGAAUCAAUAGAAAAAUAUAGAUAAGAGGUUUGUAAAAGAGAAAAACACGAAGGACAACAAAGCCUUAUUCCAUUAAGUAUAAUCGGUUGUAUAACUAGAGGUUUGUAAAAAGAGAAAAAUAAUUUUCCAUUUAUGGAGGUUAGGAUGAAUUCCACAUCGUGGAAGGGAGGGACUUACAUGUACUUACAAGUAGUUAGUCUUUUUCAUAUUGCCAAUUAGUUUUAUGGUGGAGCCUCAACUUCUUUGUGGUAUCAAAGCAGGUCAUACGUGCUUCACGCCACCCAAUCUAUGUUGUCCACAUGUUAGACUUAAAAAUUUGUCAUACAUGAGAGGACGUGUUGAGAGUGAA